AUUGAACGCUGGCGGCAGGCCUAACACAUGCAAGUCGAGCGGAUGAAGGGAGCUUGCUCCUGGAUUCAGCGGCGGACGGGUGAGUAAUGCCUAGGAAUCUGCCUGGUAGUGGGGGAUAACGUCCGGAAACGGGCGCUAAUACCGCAUACGUCCUGAGGGAGAAAGUGGGGGAUCUUCGGACCUCCCGCUAUCAGAUGAGCCUAGGUCGGAUUAGCUAGUUGGUGGGGUAAAGGCCUACCAAGGCGACGAUCCGUAACUGGUCUGAGAGGAUGAUCAGUCACACUGGAACUGAGACACGGUCCAGACUCCUACGGGAGGCAGCAGUGGGGAAUAUUGGACAGUGGGCGAAAGCCUGAUCCAGCCAUGCCGCGUGUGUGAAGAAGGUCUUCGGAUUGUAAAGCACUUUAAGUUGGGAGGAAGGGCAGUAAGUUAAUACCUUGCUGCUUUGACGUUACCAACAGAAUAAGCACCGGCUAACUUCGUG
rnacentral:rRNA from 1 species